GACGAACGCUGGCGGCGUGCCUAAUACAUGCAAGUCGAACGCUUCUUACUUAUCGAACUUCGGUUCACCAAGUAAGAAGAGUGGCGAACGGGUGAGUAACACGUGGGUAACCUGCCCAUCAGAGGGGGAUAACACUUGGAAACAGGUGCUAAUACCGCAUAAUUCUUUUUGUCGCAUGAUAGAAAGAUGAAAGGCGCUUUUGCGUCACUGAUGGAUGGACCCGGGGUGCAUUAGCUAGUUGGUAGGGUAAUGGCUUACCAAGGCAACGAUGCAUAGCCGACCUGAGAGGGUGAUCGGCCACACUGGGACUGAGACACUGCCCAGACUCCUACGGGAGGCAGCAGUAGGGAAUCUUCGGCAAUGGACGAAAGUCUGACCGAGCAACGCCGCGUGAGUGAAGAAGGUUUUCGGAUCGUAAAACUCUGUUGUUAGAGAAGAACAAGGAUGAGAGUAAAAUGUUCAUCCCUUGACGGUAUCUAACCAGAAAGCCACGGCUAACUACGUGCCAGCAGCCGCGGUAA
rnacentral:rRNA from 1 species